AGGAUAAACGCUGGCGGCGUGCCUAACACAUGCAAGUCGAACGUCCUACGCAAGUAGGGAGUGGCGGACGGGUGAGUAACACGUGGGCAAUCUACCUUUCGGUGAGGAAUACCGGCGAGAAAUCGCCGACAAUACCGCAUACGUUUCGCAAGAAACAAAGUCGCAAGACGCCGGAGGAGGAGCCUGCGCCCGAUUAGCUGGUUGGUGAGGUAACAGCCCACCAAGGCUUCGAUCGGUAGCUGGUCUGAGAGGAUGAUCAGCCACACUGGGAUUGAGAACGGCCCAGACUCCUACGGGGGGCAGCAGUGAGGAAUUUCGUCAAUGGGGGAAACCCUGAACGAGCAACGCCGCGUGCAGGAUGACGCUUCUCGGAGUGUAAACUGUCUUUUCGUCGGGGAAGAGAACGGACGGUACCCGAGGAAUCACGCCCCGGCUAACUACGUGCCAGCAGCCGC
rnacentral:rRNA from 1 species